GGGUUGUGAGGUUAAGCGACUAAGCGUACACGGUGGAUGCCCUGGCAGUCAGAGGCGAUGAAGGGCGUGCUAAUCUGCGAUAAGCGCCGGUAAGGUGAUAUGAACCGUUAUAACCGGCGAUACCCGAAUGGGGAAACCCAGUGUGUUUCGACACACUAUCAUUAACUGAAUCCAUAGGUUAAUGAGGCGAACCGGGGGAACUGAAACAUCUAAGUACCCCGAGGAAAAGAAAUCAACCGAGAUUCCCCCAGUAGCGGCGAGCGAACGGGGAGGAGCCCAGAGCCUGAAUCAGCAUGUGUGUUAGUGGAAGCGUCUGGAAAGGCGCGCGAUACAGGGUGACAGCCCCGUACACAAAAGCGCAUGUGCUGUGAGCUCGAUGAGUAGGGCGGGACACGUGGUAUCCUGUCUGAAUAUGGGGGGACCAUCCUCCAAGGCUAAAUACUCCUGACUGACCGAUAGUGAACCAGUACCGUGAGGGAAAGGCGAAAAGAACCCCGGCGAGGGGAGUGAAAAAGAACCUGAAACCGUGUACGUACAAGCAGUGGGAGCCCCACCACCAAAGCAUUCUCUGGUGUUGAAGGCCCUGCAAAGCAGCAUCGCGGUGGCGGAGCGUCGUUUGCGACGCCCAACACACAAAACAAGCGGUGAGUGCUUUGGGGUGGGGUGACUGCGUACCUUUUGUAUAAUGGGUCAGCGACUUAUAUUCUGUAGCAAGGUUAACCG
rnacentral:rRNA from 1 species